GUAGAUAUAGUUUAAAGGUAAAACCACUAUUUGUGGCAUAGUAGUUCUUUGUUCAAUUCAAAGUAUUUACC
rnacentral:tRNA from 1 species